rnacentral:rRNA from 1 species
GACGAACGCUGGCGGCGUGCCUAAUACAUGCAAGUCGAGCGGACCGAACAGGAGCUUGCUCUUGUUCGGUUAGCGGCGGACGGGUGAGUAACACGUGGGUAACCUGCCCGUAAGACCGGGAUAACUCCGGGAAACCGGAGCUAAUACCGGAUAACACCGAAGACCACAUGGUCUUUGGUUGAAAGGCGGCUUCGGCUGCCACUUACGGAUGGGCCCGCGGCGCAUUAGCUAGUUGGUGAGGUAACGGCUCACCAAGGCGACGAUGCGUAGCCGGCCUGAGAGGGUGACCGGCCACACUGGGACUGAGACACGGCCCAGACUCCUACGGGAGGCAGCAGUAGGGAAUCUUCCGCAAUGGACGAAAGUCUGACGGAGCGACGCCGCGUGAGCGAAGAAGGUCUUCGGAUCGUAAAGCUCUGUUGUUAGGGAAGAAGAAGCGUCGUUCGAACAGGGCGGCGCGGUGACGGUACCUAACGAGAAAGCCCCGGCUAACUACGUG